rnacentral:ncRNA from 2 species
AACGUUCAUUCCUCUUCGGAUUGAUUGCAUCUACCGGUUGCUGUUAGUCCUGCAAGGAACGGAAGUAGGGAAAAAUAGUUUAGCUAUUUGACCGAAGGAACGCGCC